UCGUUUUUGUCUUUGGUUAUCUAGCUGUAUGAGUGUUAAAUACCUGUCAUAAAGCUAGAUAACCGAAAGUAGAAAUGACUUUUACUGUUUUCAUUCCUGAGAGGAAGAUCUUCAGAGAGAUUUUAUUUUGAAAAAAGAGGCGUCAUUGAAAAGCAAGAGGAGAGAGGAGUCCGGAUUUACCGCCUCUUCCCGCCCGUUCGUCGAUGCCAUCUGCGUUGCCAGCGGAGGCUCUCUGCCCGUGCCAGGAGUCAGACAAAGAGCCUCCCCAGAUCCCCGAAGAGAUGGCCGCACUCGCAGGAGCCAUCUUGGGGGGGAGAUGUUUGCCGCGGCACCUAAAAUGGCUGGGCUGGCACUCGAGGAUGGAUCAGGCCACGUCAACAUCUCCGCUUCUCUAAAAUGGGAUCAUGAGGACCAACUUCUCGUCAAACUCGUUGGAAAAGCGUGAAACUCGACCGUACUCUGAAUGAAGAACCCAGGAUGUGUCGUCUAAAAUCAAAUGAUAUUGAGAUUGUGUUACUGCAAAAAUAAAUCAAUUAUCAGUUUAGAUUUAGAAUGCUGUACAAUAAUAAUAUUAAUCAUGACUUAUUUUUGUGAAAAAACAAAAAUGUGAUUAAAAAUAUGCAGGAGUUAUAGCUGUUGAAAGAAUGCUUUAUUCCAAAAAUGCAUAUUUUGUGUUAUAAUCCUUAUCUAGUAUAAUAAGCUAAAAAAAUGCUGUUUUUUGUUGUUGUAUUUGUUUUACAAUUUAUUGUUGAUUAAAAUAUCCAGUUUGUUUAAAAAAACAUCAAUGUAUUUUUUUAUCUUAGCCAAAUUGUGUAAAAAUCUCAUUUCUGUUGUCUCCAAUAAGAUAAAAUAAACUAUUUAUGACACUCA